rnacentral:precursor_RNA from 1 species
CCCAAACUGUGAAGCUAAGCUAAGCUUCUCCGCUUCUCCAUCUCAUUGCCCUGUAGCUUUCGCCUCCCUCUUCCAGCUAGCGUUGCUUGUUUCCAUUUCCUCUCUCUCUCUCUCUCUCCAGCUAGCCUAUCUCUCUCUAUAUCAAUCUCGAUCUCCAUGCCAUUGCACUCGAGCAGGCUCAGCUACCUCCUUAUAAACCCCAGGCUGCCUCUCUCUCAGCACCUAACUAUAAUACCACUAUACACUUAGCUUAGUGUUUACCUAGCUAGCUAGCAGCUGGCUGCAACAAACAUUCUGCAUGCACUUUGAAUUCUAGAGAUAGUAGAGUUAAUUAGAUAGCUUAGCUACCACAAUGCAUGCGUGCAACCUGAUAGCUUAGCUACGCGUAGUUGCCAAUUCAACCGGCCGAUAUAUAUAUCGGCCUGAGGAAACUAGUGGAGGACUCCAAAGGGAUCGCAUUGAUCUGGCUAGCUAUCUCGAUCGAUCGCCUCAUCGAUCGACGACAACGUGCGAGAUCGAUCAGUGCAAUCCCUUUGGAAUUUUCCGCUUGCUUCCGCCUCCUCAUCUUCCUUGAUCGAUCGAUCCUUUGCCUGCUGCACGCGCUUGCCUGCCGGCUUGCUUCUUCCAUCGCCGCCUUGAUCAAUCCGCAAGCUGCUCCAGAUUCAGGAG